ncrna:unclassified sequences c-di-GMP-I-GGC riboswitch
AUAGCCUUCGGUAAACCCUCUGAAAGGAGGGGGGCACGAAGCCAUGGGUCUAAAGUAUUCAGCUAUGAUCGCCGGGCUGCAGCAA